UGGAGUGUUUGUGUGACACGUACAGGAUAGGUAGGAGCCAAGGAAGCCGGAACGCCAGUUUCGGUGGAGGCAUUGGUGGGAUACUACCCUUGUGACAUGACCAUUCUAACCCGCAACCGUAAAACCGGUUGGGAGACAGUGUCAGACGGGCAGUUUGACUGGGGCGGUCGCCUCCUAAAAAGUAACGGAGGCGCCCAAAGGUUCCCUCAGAAUGGUUGGAAAUCAUUCGAAGAGU
rnacentral:rRNA from 1 species